rnacentral:lncRNA from 1 species
UUCCUUGAAUUGUCAAAAAAAUGACUAGUAAAAAUAGAAAUCAAAUUAGACAAUAUUUGACAAGUAUAUCCAAACAGAGGAAGUAAUUAACACCUCCGAUUUAAACUUAAAUUUGAGCGGAAACUUAUACCAUACGAAGACCACUAAACCAAAUUAAAGUGAAAUUGACGCUUUCUGCUCCAAUUUCACAAUCAACUGGAAAGAAAAACUACACUUUUUUUUAAUCCAAUAUCAAUCAAAUUCAAAAUCUACUGACAUAACACACAGCAUAUGUUCCAUAGACAAAACUUUUACGUCUGCUCCAAGUCGCAAGUACUAAGGGCUUGUUUCUUCUCCCCAAUAUCUCAUCGUGUUAAGUCUGGCGCUCUCUUUUAUGCUACACGGUGUGUGAACAUACAUGGCCUCUCAUAGCAUUUUCAUAACAGAAUCUGAGAGGGUAAUGACAGCAGACUAAGGACUCCAACCCAAGGAUAAUUUCCGUCUCUUGUAUCCCUUUGAACACUGCAAGGACCUUUACAUGAGAGAGAUUGAAUGAGCAGUACAAAGAAUGGGGCAGUGAUAGGGAACUGUCACAGCCAGAGAAGGUGACAACCAAGGUUGUGGUGAUAUGAGGGUUUCUGUGACUUGGGGGGAGGGGAAACGAGAAGGGGUGGAAUCUGGCAAGAGAGAGGAAAUAAAGCAUGGUUGAGCAACUACUUGGUGUGGUAUUGUGAUAAAGAACCUCAAAUACCAAAAAGACAAAAACCAAGGGAACAGGGAGUCAAACACAAGCUGGAAACAAGAGAACCAUAAAACACAUAGGCAAAUGUUUUAGUAGAAAACAGUAUCAAACACAUUCUUCCUCUUUAUCCUAUUUAAGUAUAUUUUCAAGUCUUAAACACAAUCUUUUUUAUAUCCAAAGUCUAACACAAUCUUUUUUUCAGAAUGAAAUCUAACACAAUCUUAGCAGUAGUAGCACAUGAAAUUCAGACACCAACAAUUGUCAAUAAAAACUGCCAUCAGAGGGGGUGAAACUCAGAAUCAUUUCAAAGUCCCAUCCUUUGCUUAUCCAAGGCAUGAAACUCAAAGCCCUUGCGCAAUUACCCAAACAUCAUAUGGCAGUACAAAUAGCUCGAAACAAAGAGAACCAAAAACAUAUAGACAGUAGGGAAAUAUGCAGGUAAAGAGAAAGAAAGAUGGUAUUUUUUUCCUCCAAAGUGUCAUUGAGCUCCUCCAUGAAACAGAGAAUCAAAACUACUCUUCUUAACACUUAACGUUUUAGUACAUAUAGAGAGAAAUAUCCAAGUCUAACACAACCUUAGCAGCACUAGCACAUAAAAUUCAGACACUUGACAACAAUCAUUGAUAAAAACGGCCAUCAGAAGGGGUGAAAACUCAGUAUCAUUUCAAAGUUCCAUCCUUUAGAUAUUAAUGGCAUGGAACUCAAAGCCCUUGCGCAAUUACCCAAACAUCAUAUGGCAGUACAAAUAGCUCGAAACAAAGAGAACCAAAAACAUAUAGACAGUAGGGAAAUAUGCAGGUAAAGAGAAAGAAAGAUGGUAUUUUUUUCCUCCAAAGUGUCAUUGAGCUCCUCCAUGAAACAGAGAAUCAAAACUACUCUUCUUAACACUUAACGUUUUAGUACAUAUAGAGAGAAAUAUCCAAGUCUAACACAACCUUAGCAGCACUAGCACAUAAAAUUCAGACACUUGACAACAAUCAUUGAUAAAAACGGCCAUCAGAAGGGGUGAAAACUCAGUAUCAUUUCAAAGUUCCAUCCUUUAGAUAUUAAUGGCAUGGAACUCAAAGCCCUUGCGCAAUUACCCAAACAUCAUGUGGCAGUACAAAGAGCAGGAUCUGAGACAACCAAAAACAUAUAGACAAUAUGGAAAUAUGGAGGUCAGUAUAGUGAAAGAAAAGAUGAUAUUUUUUUCCUCCAAAAUGACAAUCAGCUCCUCCAUAAAACAGCGAAUCAAAACUAGUCUUCUUAUUACUUAGCAUAUAUAGAUAUAGAUAAGCAGUCUUGACAACAAUCAUUAAUAAAAAAAUGCCAUCAGAAGGGGUGGAACUCAGGAUCAUUUCAAAGUUCCAUCCAUUGCUUAUCAACAGUAUGGAACUCAAAGCCCUUGCGCAAUUACCCAAACAUCAUAUGGCAGUACAAAGAGCUGGAAACGAGACAGCCAGAAGCAUUUAAACAACAGGGAAAAUUCAGCUACU